AAGUCGUAACAAGGUUUCCGUAGGUGAACCUGCGGAAGGAUCAUUAUCGAUUUUAUAAUCAUCCAAAUACCAAUAUCAAUAUCAUAAAAAAAAAACAAUUGCAAAAAAAAACAUUUAUGUUUUUUUUUGGAAUUGAAUUUGUUGAAUUACUUACGUUUCCAAGAUUAAAAAAAAGUAUAUGUAUUAUUAUUUAUUUAAUAAUAUAUGUUACUUUUUUUUUAGGAAAUGAAUUUUAAUUUUAUUAACCAAUUGAACCGCUGAAGUAUAUAUAGAGAUAUAUAUAUUUUUGCUCUUUACAAAACAAUUUAUUUAACUGUACUGAAUUAAACUAAUAUUAUUUUUUAUUUUUCGAAAUAAAAAAAAUAUUAAUUUCAUUACGAAAUAGAUUUAAAAGAACAACUCUUAGCAACGGAUAUCUUGGUUCUC
rnacentral:misc_RNA from 1 species